GGAAGGAUCAUUAAAAAUAUGGUGAUGCUGCCGUGGCACACAUUGUCUUCAUUUCACUCUGAGUACCUUUCCUGUUGCUUCCGUAGGGUUCGGCGAGUCACAUGUGUCGCCUUCUGCCCUUGGGGAUCAAAGAUAUCGAUCCUCAUUGGGGAGAUCCUGCGGGAGGAAAGCAUUCAAACUCUUUGUAUUCGAAUGGCAUUCGGUCUGAUCUUGGUAAGGAAACAUUAAAACUUUCAGCAACGGAUCUCUUGGUUCUCGCAUCGAUGAAGAACGCAGCGAAAUGCGAAAAGUAGUGUGAAUUGCAGAAUUCAGUGAAUCAUCGAAUCUUUGAACGCACAUUGCGCCUCGCGGUAUUCCGUGAGGCAUGCCUGUUUGAGCGUCAUUGAAAGUAGUUCAAGCUUUUAUUUGCUUGGUCGUGGUGGAUGAGGGACUGACUGUUCUCUCACCUCCAAAAUUGAAUGGCGGAUUAACAGCAGGUGCCCUGGCGUUGUAUGACAAAGCCCCCUCGCCUUGGCCGCUGGAGUAAUCCUGCCCGCCAAUCCCCAUGAUAUUUCAAGAUUGACCUCGGAUCAGGUAGGGAUACCCGCUGAACUUAAGCAUAUCAAUAAGCGGAGGAAAAGAAACCAACAGGGAUUGCCUCAGUAACUGCGAGUGAAGCGGCAAAAGCUCAAAUUUGAAAUCUGGCGUCUUGGACGUCCGACUUGUAAUUUGGAGAGGCAUCUUUGGAGAUGGCGUCGUCCCAAGUUCCUUUGAACAGGAUGUCGCAGAGGGUGAGAAUCCCGUAUCUGGACAGCGGUCCAUCUUCAUUUCGGGGUGUCUUCGACGAGUCGAGUUGUUUGGGAAUGCAGCUCAAAAUGGGUGGUAAAUGUCAUCUAAAGCUAAAUAUUGGCGAGAGACCGAUAGCGCACAAGUAGAGUGAUCGAAAGAUGAAAAGCACUUUGAAAAGAGAGUCAAAAAGUACGUGAAAUUGCUGAGAGGGAAGCGCUUGAGACCAGACUCAACUCCCCGAUGUUACUCUGGGCUUUUGUCUGGUAAAUAUAUGUCUUGGAUUGAGCCAGCAUCGGUUUUGGCGGUGGGAUAAAAGGUUGGGGAAUGUAGCUUCCUCCGGGGAGUGUUAUAGCCCUGGCUAUAAUGCCACCAGCAAGGACUGAGGACCGCGCUUCGGCUAGGAUG
rnacentral:rRNA from 1 species